ensembl:lncRNA
GUAGUCUAGUGGUUAGAGUGUAGGGGCGGCAGGUAGCCUAGUGGUUAGAGUGUAGAGGUGGCAGGUAGUCUCGUGGUUAGAGUGUAGAGGUGGCAGGUAGCCUAGUGGUUAGAGGGUAGAGGUGGCAGGUAGCCUAGUGGUUAGAGUGUAGAGGUGCAGCCUCUACAGCCUGCUGGUCUGUUGCUCAGCUUAAACACACACACACACACACACACACACACACACACACACACACACACACACACACACACACACACACUGGCGCUGGUCUUCCUCCAUCAGUUUUAUCUGUGUGAUCUCAGAGACCGGCCAGCGCCUCAUCCCAAAUAGCUCUAGUCAAAAGUAUGGGGUGCUAUUUGGGACAUUUCCCUCUGUGCCCCCCUGGUGCAUUCUGGGUAACUGUGUGUCUGCAGC